GGGGGAUUAGCUCAGUUGGGAGAGCGCUACAAUGGCAUUGUAGAGGUCAGGGGUUCGAAUCCCCUAUCCUCCACCA
rnacentral:tRNA from 1 species